GUCUGCUGAUUGUUGCCUGAGUGUCAGCAUGGGAAAUUAAGGAUCUUAGAGGUUCUGUUUUGGAUUUGCUUUACCAUCAGUGGCCACUGGGUUCCCUGCACUGUGUGGAUGGCGGUGGAGAAAAGGUUGCAGUGUGAUUGCUGUGAGCUGAGUGUGGUGAAAACACUGCUGCUUGGGUACCUCAUCUGUCCUCACUUUCUGGUUAACCGGUGGCCAUUAGUGGUUUGUUUUUUUUCUUUUCUUUUAUUUAGUUUAUUUACUUUUUCUUCCUUGUUUGCAAUAGAGAUGGAGACAAUUUGUAUACUACAACUUGUGAAAUAAAAUAUCAUUGUUCUCCUAAUUGUAAGUCACUUCAUUUACCCUCUGCUAAAUCAUUAACACUGACAAAAGUCAUCUG